rnacentral:misc_RNA from 1 species
AACUUUUAACAAUGGAUCUCUUGUCUCUCGCAUCGAUGAAGAACGCAGCGAAAUGCGAUAAGUAAUGUGAAUUGCAGAAUUCAGUGAAUCAUCGAAUCUUUGAACGCACCUUGCGCUCCUUGGUAUUCCGAGGAGCAUGCCUGUUUGAGUGUCAUUAAUAUAUAUAUCAACCUCUUCUUUGUUGAGUGGUUUGGAUGUGGGGGUUUGCUGGCCUCUUGAAGGGUCAGCUCCCCUGAAAUGCAUUAGCAGAACAACCUGUUCGUUGGUGUGAUAACUAUCUACGCUACUGAAUGGUGAAGGCAGUUCAGCUUUCUAACCGUCCUUGGACAAUUUAUCAUUUAUGUGACCUCAAAUCAGGUAGGACUACCCGCUGAACUUAAGCAUAUCAAUAAGCGGAGGCU